rnacentral:rRNA from 1 species
GACGAACGCUGGCGGCGUGCUUAACACAUGCAAGUCGAGCGAUGAAGCUCCUUCGGGAGUGGAUUAGCGGCGGACGGGUGAGUAACACGUGGGUAACCUGCCUCAUAGAGGGGAAUAGCCUUCCGAAAGGAAGAUUAAUACCGCAUAAGAUUGUAGUGCCGAAUGGCAUAGCAAUUAAAGGAGUAAUCCGCUAUGAGAUGGACCAGCGUCGCAUUGGCUAGUUGGUGAGGUAACGGCUCACCAAGGCGACGAUGCGUAGCCGACCUGAGAGGGUGAUCGGCCACAUUGGGACUGAGACACGGCCCAGACUCCUACGGGAGGCAGCAGUGGGGAAUAUUGCACAAUGGUGGAAACCCUGAUGCAGCAACGCCGCGUGAGUGAUGACGGUCUUCGGAUUGUAAAGCUCUGUCUUCAGGGACGAUAAUGACGGUACCUGAGGAGGAAGCCACGGCUAACUCUGUGCCAGCCGCCGCGGUAACAC